AUUGAACGCUGGCGGCAUGCCUUACACAUGCAAGUCGAACGGCAGCACGGGUGCUUGCACCUGGUGGCGAGUGGCGAACGGGUGAGUAAUACAUCGGAACAUGUCCUGUAGCGGGGGAUAGCCCGGCGAAAGCCGGAUUAAUACCGCAUACGAUCUACGGAUGAAAGCGGGGGACCUUCGGGCCUCGCGCUAUAGGGUUGGCCGAUGGCUGAUUAGCUAGUUGGUGGGGUAAAGGCCUACCAAGGCGACGAUCAGUAGCUGGUCUGAGAGGACGACCAGCCACACUGGGACUGAGACACGGCCCAGACUCCUACGGGAGGCAGCAGUGGGGAAUUUUGGACAAUGGGCGAAAGCCUGAUCCAGCAAUGCCGCGUGUGUGAAGAAGGCCUUCGGGUUGUAAAGCACUUUUGUCCGGAAAGAAAUCCUUGGCUCUAAUACAGUCGGGGGAUGACGGUACCGGAAGAAUAAGCACCGGCUAACUACGUG
rnacentral:rRNA from 1 species